rnacentral:rRNA from 1 species
ACGCUGGCGGCGUGCUUACACAUGCAAGUCGAACGGUGAAGCCUGCUAUUUAUAGUGGGUGGAUCAGUGGCGGGCUGGUGAGUAACACGUAGGUGACCUGCCCCAAAGAGGAGAAUAACUUGACGAAAGUGAAGCUAAUACUCCAUGUGGUCAAUCAUUCGGUUGAUUGAUUAAAGCUAAGGCGCUUUGGGAGGGGCUUGCGGCCCAUCAGCUAGUUGGUAGGGUAAAGGCCUACCAAGGCGAAGACGGGUAGCUGGUCUGAGAGGACGAUCAGCCACAAUGGCACUGAAACACGGGCCAUACUCCUACGGGAGGCAGCAGUGAGGAAUAUUGCACAAUCGACGCAAGUCGGAUGCAGCAACGCCGCGUGGACGAUGAAGGCCUUCGGGUUGUAAAGUCCUUUUAAGAGGGACGAGGAAGGACGGUACCUCUUGAAUAAGUCUCGGCUAACUACGUGCCAGCAGCCGCGGUAACACGUAGGAGGCGAGCGUUAUCCGGAUUUAUUGGGCGUAAAGCGCAUGCAGGUGGCUAGGUAAGUCGGGUGUGAAAGCCCCGGACUUAAUCCGGGGAGGUCAUUCGAUACUGCUUGGCUUGAGAGCGGGAGAGGGAGGUGGAAUUCUCGGUGUAGUGGUGAUAUGCGUAGAUAUCGAGAGGAACACCAGUGGCGAAGGCGGCUUCCUGGCCCGUAUCUGACACUAAGAUGCGAAAGCGUGGGUAGCAAACGGACUUAGAUACUCCGGUAGUCCACGCUGUAAACGAUGGGUACUAGGUGUAGGGGGUGUAAAACUCUCUGUGCCAUAGUUAACGCACUAA